UGAAGCUGUGAUAGAGCACGUUGCCCUGGUUCAACCCUUCCUCCACCUUGAUGAGCUGCAGGGUCAUUCGGGGCCCGAUCUCGGUGAGCCGCACAGCACUCUGCUGGGCCUUCAUGUUCCCCCGGCCCGCGUACACCUGGGGCAGCUCCAGGAUAUUGUGGGUCCCGUCCUG